rnacentral:tRNA from 1 species
CAAAGAAUAGUUUAAAUAAAAUUAUAAUUUUGGAGAUUAUAGAUAAAGAUAUAUUUUUUUUUUUGA